rnacentral:rRNA from 1 species
GUGUUGCCCGGUAUGGGCGUGUGGUGGAUGCCUUGGCACAUGGGACCGAUGAAGGACGCGUGGGGCCGCGAUAGUCCUCGGGGAGCCGCCGACAGGGCUUUGAUCCGAGGGUUUCCGAAUGGGGUAACCCGGCACCCGUCAUGGGGUGUCACCGCAUUUUGUGCGGGGGGUACGCAGGGAAGUGAAACAUCUCAGUACCUGCAGGAGAGGAUAUUCCGUGAGUAGUGGCGAGCGAAAGCGGAUGAUGGCUAAACCGUGGUCGUGUGAUACCCGUCGGGGGUUGCGGCCGCGGUGUCGUGGGAAGGCCUGUGCCGGUUCCGACGGACCGGCCGGCAGUGAUAAAGCGUCGUGCGAGACGAACGGGAUUGAAUUCCCGGCCGUAGAGGGUGAUGGCCCCGUAGUCGGUAGCGCGAUGCCUGUCGAUGGCUUCUCCCGAGUAGCACGGGACUCGUGGAAUCCCGUGUGAAUCCGCCCUGACCGUGGGGUAAGCCUGAAUAUUCCCGUGUGACCGAUAGCGUACGAGUACCGUGAGGGAAAGGUGAAAAGCACCCCGGGAGGGGAGUGAAAUAGUUUCUGAAACCGCGCGCCUGCGAUCCGUCGGAGCCUUUCGGGGUGACGGCGUGCCUAUCGAAAAAUGAGUCUGCGAGUCAGUGGUGCGUGGCGAGCAUAAGCCGUGUGGUGUAUGCGUAGCGAAGGCGAGUCUUAAAAGGCGUUUGAGUCGCGUGCCCUGGACCCGAAGCGGGAUGAUCUAGCCCUGAGCAGGCUGAAGCGCGGGUAAGACCGCGUGGAGGGCCGAACCCACCUAGGUUGAAAACUGGGGGGAUGACUUGGGGUUAGGGGUGAAAGGCCAAUCAAAUUCCGUGAUAGCUGGUUCUCUCCGAAAUGCAUUUAGGUGCAGCGUCGGUUGAUUGGAUCCGGGGGGUAGAGCUACUGGAUGCUUGAGGGCCCGUACAGGGUACCGACAGCAGCCAAACUCCGAAUACCCGUGACCUGUAUUCCGGCAGUGACCCGGCGGGGGAUAAGCUUCGUCGUGGAGAGGGAGACAGCCCAGAUCGUCGUCUAAGGUCCCCAAGCGCGUGCUAAGUGGGAAAGGAUGUGGGGUCGCAUAGACAGCCAGGAGGUUGGCUCAGAAGCAGCCAUCCUUGAAAGAGUGCGUAACAGCUCACUGGUCUAGUGGUCCUGCGCCGACAAUGUAGCGGGGCUCAAGCACGCCACCGAAGACGCGGCAGUCGCCUUGUGCGGCUGGGUAGGAGAGCGUCCCAUGAUGGGGUGAAGCCGCGGCGUAAGCCUGUGGUGGACUUCAUGGGAGUGAGAAUGCAGACAUGAGUAGCGAGACGGGGGUGACAAUCCCCCGCGCUGGAUGACCAAGGGUUCCAGGGCCACGUUCAUCGUCCCUGGGUGAGUCGGGUCCUAAGGCGAGGCCGACAGGCGUAGUCGAAUGGAUGAACGGGUUGAUAUUCCCGUACCGGCAUGGAGCCGCCAGGACCGAGGCGGGGGGUGCUAACCUCCGGUCCGCUGGAUCGUUCCCUUCGGGGUUCGUGACGGCGGGCUGUUGGGACCGACCCCUGUAGUAGGUGAGCGCGGGAGUGACGCAGGAUGGUAGCCGGCCGCGGCGGUGGUUGUCCGUGGUCAAGCGUG